AAGGAACUUAAAAAAUCCCCAAAACAGGCAGGCCCUGUUGAAAAUUUUAACUCCUCAACUUUACUCAACUUUCAGGAUACCUACAAAAGAGACAGAGGAGGUUCCUUUGACCUGAACCUAAACCUAAACAGAGGAUGGACGAGAUAUAUGACUUCUUAAAAUCACGGGAUGUUUCAGAGGAAGUCAUACAACGACUGCAAAAGGAUAAGAUUGACUCCAGUGUCCUUCUGCUCAUGACAGAUGAGCAGCUUAAGGAGUAUCUCCCAUCUUAUGGUGACCGACUGGCACUUCUCGGAUAUUGCAGACGAAGGGAAAAUGAUCCUGCUGGCCGGAAAUCAAAACUUUUUGACCGACUGAGAGCCAAGAUUUCAAGGAACAAAGGCAACGAUCAAAAGCAGAUCUCAGAAAAUGUUAGCAUCGGAAAUGCUCAAAAAACUGUUCGAAAAGUUGAGAUAGGAUGGAUGAAUUCUCGAGAUGGGAAGUUUUUUAAAGUUCGGACAAAGAAAGGUGGUGGAACAAGAAAAAUUGAUGUGUCAAAGGAAUGUAGAAAAAAUGACUUAAUUGAAAAGGCAGUGGGUUUGUUUUUUCCGUCUCAAAGAAAUUCACAUGGAAGAAUUACAGAUUUUGAGGUUGACAUGACAGAUUUCCAGGAACAUUCACUUGAUGAACAUAUUACAGUUGGAGAACUUUAUGAGCAGACAAAACUACCUGUUUUGCGUUUUUACCUAACAACCAAAAAGAAGGACACUGGCAGCGACUCAGAACCAGACAACCCCAGUGGAAAUGACCAAGACACUUUAAGGUUUUCUACUUACUCUCAA